rnacentral:lncRNA from 1 species
GGCAGUUCCACAGGCACAGCAAUCUAAUAUUGGUUUGUCAGUCACACCUUCAGAGGCUGAAUCUUGUUCACAGAUUCUUUUGGUGAGAGAACCCUCGUCCUGAAAAUAAAUAAUGCGCUUCUGCACAAUACUGGCUUUCAGAAUGACACAGCCCGUACCAGUAGGAGGAGCUGUCCAGAAGACCUGGAUGCGUGUCCUCCUUCUAGGUGUGCUCUCAGUAACCGCGACGGGACAAUUGCUCAUGAACUGCGUCUCUUCUUCAUCUAUGAUCUGAAAAGUUCCCGCAUGGUCUUCC